rnacentral:rRNA from 2 species
CAAGUCGAGCGGACAGAUGGGAGCUUGCUCCCUGAUGUUAGCGGCGGACGGGUGAGUAACACGUGGGUAACCUGCCUGUAAGACUGGGAUAACUCCGGGAAACCGGGGCUAAUACCGGAUGCUUGUUUGAACCGCAUGGUUCAAAUAUAAAAGGUGGCUUCGGCUACCACUUACAGAUGGACCCGCGGCGCAUUAGCUAGUUGGUGAGGUAACGGCUCACCAAGGCAACGAUGCGUAGCCGACCUGAGAGGGUGAUCGGCCACACUGGGACUGAGACACGGCCCAGACUCCUACGGGAGGCAGCAGUAGGGAAUCUUCCGCAAUGGACGAAAGUCUGACGGAGCAACGCCGCGUGAGUGAUGAAGGUUUUCGGAUCGUAAAGCUCUGUUGUUAGGGAAGAACAAGUACCGUUCGAAUAGGGCGGUACCUUGACGGUACCUAACCAGAAAGCCACGGCUAACUACGUGCCAGCAGCCGCGGUAAUACGUAGGUGGCAAGCGUUGUCCGGAAUUAUUGGGCGUAAAGGGCUCGCAGGCGGUUUCUUAAGUCUGAUGUGAAAGCCCCCGGCUCAACCGGGGAGGGUCAUUGGAAACUGGGGAACUUGAGUGCAGAAGAGGAGAGUGGAAUUCCACGUGUAGCGGUGAAAUGCGUAGAGAUGUGGAGGAACACCAG